rfam:Ictidomys tridecemlineatus contig040787, whole genome shotgun sequence.
GUGCUCGCUUUGGCAGCACAUAUACUAAAAUUGGAACGAUACAGAGAAGAUUAGCAUGGUCCCUGCACAAGAAGUUCUGUUGCCUCAAGGUAGUGUAGGGUGAGUGU